rnacentral:rRNA from 1 species
UACAGAGGGGGCAAGCGUUGUUCGGAAUUACUGGGCGUAAAGGGCGCGUAGGCGGCCUUCUAAGUCGAACGUGAAAUCCCCGGGCUCAACCCAGGAACUGCGUCCGAUACUGGUUGGCUUGAAUCCGGGAGAGGGAUGUGGAAUUCCAGGUGUAGCGGUGAAAUGCGUAGAUAUCUGGAGGAAUACCGGUGGCGAAGGCGGCAUCCUGGACCGAGAUUGACGCUGAGGAGCGAAAGCUAGGGGAGCAAACGGG